rnacentral:rRNA from 1 species
UACAGAGGGUGCGAGCGUUAAUCGGAAUUACUGGGCGUAAAGCGCGUGUAGGCGGCCCCGCAAGUCGGAUGUGAAAGCCCUCGGCUCAACCGGGGAAGUGCAUUCGAAACUGCAGGGCUAGAGUCCCGGAGAGGAUAGUGGAAUUCUCGGUGUAGAGGUGAAAUUCGUAGAUAUCGAGAGGAACACCGGUGGCGAAGGCG